CGAGGGCCUGACUGAGCAAAUCCUUAAAAGUCGGUNGUAGUCCGGAUUGGAGUCUGCAACUCGACUCCAUGAAGUCGGAAUCGCUAGUAAUCGCGAAUCAGCAUGUCGCGGUGAAU
rnacentral:rRNA from 1 species